UACGAAGGGGGCUAGCGUUGCUCGGAAUCACUGGGCGUAAAGGGUGCGUAGGCGGGUCUUUAAGUCAGGGGUGAAAUCCUGGAGCUCAACUCCAGAACUGCCUUCGAAACUGGGAAUCUUGAGUCCGGGAGAGGUGAGUGGAACUGCGAGUGUAGAGGUGAAAUUCGUAGAUAUUCGCAAGAACACCAGUGGCGAAGGCGGCUCACUGGCCCGGUACUGACGCUGAGGUGCGAAAGCGUGGGGAGCAAACAGG
rnacentral:rRNA from 1 species